rnacentral:lncRNA from 1 species
AUGACAUUUUUAAAUAUCAAAUCCAUUGCUUGGGCAUUCUCUCUAAUAACAUUAGGGACUGAAAUGCUCAACUCUGUCUUCAGUUUCUACUAUGUAAAGCUUUUUUUACAUCUGUACAAGGUUUCAGAAGUGGCUUUUUACCAAGCCCAGAUGAUUUUAAUGAUCUGGAAUGCUCUUAACGACCUGACGGGGUACUUUCACAACAACUCUAAGGCUGACUGCUGUUCCAGUCAUCACAGUUCUGUUUUGUAUGGUGCCCCUUUAUAUGCAGCAGCCUUCCUGCUUCCUUGGUUCCCAUGGAAAUACUAUCAUGAAGGUGACUGGCUUAGUGGGCUUCAACUGGUGGUAUCAUUGUGUGCUUUUGAUAGCACACUUACCUUUGUUCAGCAAGCCCAGUGUGUACUGUUUGCAGAAAUUUUCACUAGAUACGAAAGUCGGCUUCAGCUUAUUCCAGUCAACCAAGUGGCAUCACUGGUAGGAUCUACCAGUAUCCUUUUCUGUGGCCUCAUCUCUGAUAACCUGGAAAUUUUGCUCAGUUUUCAGGUCAUCGCUGUUAUUGUUGCCAUUUUGGCUACUGCCAGCCUUUAUACUGGCAUGUGCCACGUAAGUCACUUAGAACCUAAAAGAAGCCCCGAGGAAAACCAUCUCUCAGAAAUUGUACAGGAUCUCCCCUGGACCUCCGUCGUCUCAUUGGUGAGACAAAUCUUGACGCAGAAAAACUUUCGCCUUUUUCUGAUAGUGAAUUUCUUCCAAGUCUUCCAUUUAACCUUCUUCAGUAACUUCAUGAUGAUAUUCGUUGAUAACCUCAUUCCCAUGGAUGUUCUUCCUUCUUCCAUAAGGAGCAUCAUGUAUGGGGCAGGCUUUAUCUGCCCACAGUGCCUUGUGCUUUUCAGCCAGUCCUGGCUGAGGAAGUUUGGUUACUAUAAAAUUAUCUUAUUUUCAUUCUACCUAGAAGGAACAGCCUCCAUUGUCAUGUUGCUUCUUGGACAGCAGUACUAUUACUUUUUGGCUCUGUAUCUCACUGUUAUCAUGGUGAUUGUGCAAGCUUCUUUUUGCUUAUUUAACUUGCCACUGGCUGACAUGGUCGAUGCAGACUUACUGAAGUUCAAUCGGCAGUCACCCCUUUCCUCCAUGGUCUUUGGCAUCAAUGCUUUAUUUACCAAACCUGCUCAGUCUUUAGCUCCCAUGGUGAUACUCUCAAGGCUAAACCAGUUUGGAUAUGGAAACCCAAACAAAAGUACAAUCUUAGAUCUUCAUGACGCCAUGUUUAAUCUGAUUUGCCUGGUCCCGCUAGGGCAUCGCAGCAAUUCAGAUCCUGGUUUGGAGCCCAUUCUCCAUCAGGAAGAAGACAGACUACACAGGGGCCUUCUGAGGGUGACACCAGCCAUUACAGGAGCCAAAUGA